GCAAGUCGAACGGUAACGCGGAGAGCUUGCUCUCUGGCGACGAGUGGCGGACGGGUGAGUAAUGCUUGGGAAUCUGCCUAGUAGUGGGGGACAACCCGGGGAAACCCGGGCUAAUACCGCAUACGCCCUACGGGGGAAAGCGGGGGAUCUUCGGACCUCGCGCUAUUAGAUGAGCCCAAGUCGGAUUAGCUUGUUGGUGAGGUAACGGCUCACCAAGGCGACGAUGGCUAGCCGGUUUGAGAGAAUGAUC
rnacentral:rRNA from 1 species